CUGUUCUAGUAAUCACGAACCUUUCCAGAGAUCAAGAAUGCUAAUCUGUUUGUUGGAAGAAAAAAAGAGACUUCUCAUUCAGGGGAUGGAUGCUGUGAGUGAACGAGCCUCUCAGAGCCUGCACACCUGUGGAUGAGGGGCUAAUUAAAGUUCUUUGAACACAAAAAGCCGAGAAGAAGACCUAGGCUUGGGAUCAUGUCCCCUUCCAACAAGGAGGUCAGCAGGAACUUUCACCCGGGAGCGUAAUCCGCUUGUCUGCUGACAUGGUGCUGGGUGGGCACGCGGGGCGGUGCCACAAAGGGGCAAGUUCGUGUGUGGGUGCACUUUGUUAGCUCAUAGAAAUACAAUGUAUGUGACUGUCUGCUCAUAAAUUAUCCACCUAGUAUAUAUGACUUUAUAAAAUGUUUUUUGCUCAUGUUUGGUUUACUCAAUACUUUUUGAUUAAAAAAUUCUAAAGCUGUGAUCUA